AGCAGCAGCCUGCCCCGAGGGGGCUGAGGAGCGCUCUCCAAUAGCUCUGCCUACUUAACGGAGGGUGAGACCAGGGUCCGCUUCUCUAAAGCCUGCCCUCAUUCCUCUCUGUGCCUCAGCAGGCCAAGCCCCUGCGGCCGAACCCAGAGAACAUCGGACAGGUUGCUGCCAGCGUGCCCCUUUUCCCCAAGCCCCACACUCUUUGCGGGCACGGCUAGGCGGCUCAUCCAACGGGCAGGUGCUCUCCUGCCUGACAUCAGGGGCUGGCACCCUUUCGGUAAGUGUUUCCGGCUUUGCAGAUCAAGCGGUUUCUACCGCCAUAGCUCGACUGUGCCAUUGUAGCAGCAAAGCAGUACGGAGGAUGUGUAAGCGAAUGUCUGUGAUUGUGAUCCAGUGAAACUUUAUUUACCGCAACAAGGGCUGCGCUGGAUUACAUCUUGACUUAAACGAACCCUCCUUAGGGGGUAAAGUACGGGCACUUUCGAAGGGAGGAAAAGCCGCCCAAAGUGGCCUGGAGAGGUCUGGGGCUUUCUUGUCCUCUUGAUGCCGUCAGAACAUCACGCUGUGUGGGAGCGGGUUCGCCUAGUGGACGAUGAGACAGCAGACAGCAGAGAUGAACCAGCCCAGCCAAAACCCUUUAGAUCAACCGGCUUGCCCCUGAACCACUAAAUACCCACAAAUGUGAGUAACUCAGGCAAGAGCAGCAGGAGAACCACCCGGCUGAGCGCCCAAACUGCUGAUCCGCAGGACAACGAGCGACUUAAAUGACAGCUGUUUAAAGCCACUAUGUUUUGGAGUGGUUUGUUGUGUAGCAAUGUAUGACUGAAAUGCAUCUGCUCAGCCUAGAGUUGGGGAGCAGAGAUGUAUGCUUCGACUUCGACACUCUACCGGAGACCCCUCAAACUCACUUGGCAAAGGGUGAAGAUGUGCAUAGCCCACUGUCAGGAAAGAAUCGAAUAGUUGGCAACAGCAGUCUGCCUUUCAUCCAUCCCUUCCAGUUACAACCACUGUGAUGUAUUUCUUGUGAGCCAGAAAGAACCUGCUUAUAUGCAAGCAUGUUUUGCACACAUGCAUACCUACAAAUCUGAGCCUGUUCUACACACUCAUCUGCAUCUUGCUUUGUUCUUGUCUCUUGCACAUCUUUCUCCAUGAAGACAUCUUUCCAAAGUUACAUCUGCGGGCUGACCUUCAACUGGACAUGCAGGUAACCACCACCCAGGCCCUGGUGUAGAAUGUAUCCAGCCCCCAGAAGUCCCACAUGUCUCUUCUUAGCCAAUACCUCCUGAGACAACCUGUGUCUGACUUCUAACACAAUUCAUUAGUUUCUCCUGUUUUUGAACUCCGUAUAAAUGAAGUUUUAAAGUAAGCUGGCUUUUGUUGUGUUGGGUCACCUGCACCCGAUCACGGUGUCUGUGAGAUCCCUCCAGGUGGGUGUGUCUAUCAGUGGCUCCGGCUUUUCCGUGCUGGGUGGUAUCCCUUUGUAUGGAUAUACCACAAUUUAUUCACCCAGUCUCUUCCAGAAGGACAUUUAAGCGGUUCCAGUUGUCGACCAUUAUGAACAAAGCCACUGUGGACGUGCUAGUGUGCAUCCUUCAGUGGGGACAUUGGCACGUUCCUCUCCUGACUGUACACCUAGGAGCGGAAUUGCUGAGAUGUGAAGUACAAAUGGUUUGCUCUGGUGGGUCCUGACAAGUAGUUUUGGAGAGUGGCUGCUCCAAUGUGCAUGCCCAUCAGUAAUGCCUGGGGGUUCUAGUGCCCCCCUCCUAAACAACACUGUAUAUAUACUUCAGUCUCUUGAAUUUUUGGCUGUUUGGGGGAGGGGAGCCUUCUCCCGGCGUUCAAAAGACAACAGUGGGCAAAUGAUCAGGGUUAACGUCACUGGUUGUAAGUCCUGUUGAUAGCAUGUAUCCCUGAUGUUGUCUGGUGAGAAUGGCAUUUUAAAUCUGUUAGGGUCUUCCUCCCCAAUCUCCAUCACAGCAGACUACCCAGAAGAAAAACACCAGAAAAAGAAAAUUAGGGGAACAAUACCUGAGCAGUCCCCCUCAAAACUUUCAAGAUAUCAAAACGGAGGAAAAUCUGAGAAACUGUCACAGCCCAUGGGACACUGGGCAGAAGAAGGCGGCUAGGGAAAAACUAAGGACAUUCAUAUAAAGUUUGGACUUUAGUUAGUAAUAAUGUAGCAAUAUUGGUUCCUUCAUUUCGACAAAUGUAUCAUACCGACGUAACAGAGGAGGCAGGUCUAGGGUCUGUAGGGAUGCUCUGGGCCAUCUUUGUAACUUUUUGGCAAAUCUAAGUGAUUCUAAAAUGGAGUGUGUGUUUAACAAAGAUAAUAGUGUAUUUCCUUGGUUUGAA